UACGUAGGGUGCAAGCGUUGUCCGGAAUUAUUGGGCGUAAAGAGCUCGUAGGCGGUUUGUUGCGUCGGCUGUGAAAUCCCGAGGCUCAACCUCGGGUCUGCAGUCGAUACGAGCAAACUAGAGUGUUGCAGGGGAGACUGGAAUUCCUGGUGUAGCGGUGAAAUGCGCAGAUAUCAGGAGGAACACCGGUGGCGAAGGCGGGGUCUCUGGGGCAACAACUGACGCUGGAGGAGCGAAAGCCGUGGGGAGCGAACAGGG
rnacentral:rRNA from 1 species